UGAUCAGGCCUUAUGAUAGAACAUAAGGCAGCUGUCUGCAAAGCAAGAAGAGGGUUAUCAUGGAGACCCGAAUUUGCUAGACCCAGCCUCCAGAAGCCUGCUGAAGCCACUCGGAACAUGGAACUUUGCGACAUCAGCUUGAGCUGAGUAUCAGACCAUAGCAACUGGAACCUGAGUCCUUCCUGAGUCUACCAGGAUAAAUUUCCAAGAUGAAGUCUAGCUCCAGAAGUUUUCAGAGAGACUUGCAAACAAGCCGAGCCCACCUGCGGUCCUCAAAGGCAUCCUCAGCUAUGCAUUCUGGAUGACCACUUGAGAAAUGGGAUCACAGGACAAACACAAAGCAGGACAGUUGACCUUGGUAGCUUGUAUGAGGGUUUCCAUUACUAUCCCUAAUCAUCCACAGAAUGAAGAAUAUAAAUCUGAAGACAUUUCUACUGCUUUUAAAAACAGUUGGCAUAUGAACAUCAUCAUUGCAGAAACUAUGAGUAAUAAUGGGAUGAUCACCCAAGUAAAUGAAGCAAAGAUCAAAAACGAGGCAUGAGGCAGCCACAUCCACUCCUUCCUCUUGAAAAUUUAAAUGAAUACUCCUUGAGAGCAAACUACAAAAUGCUAACUUUGAAGUGUUGAGUGGCAGAAAGAAUUAUGGGUUAUUGUACUGUCAAAAUGCCAGACAGCUGUAUGUUGAGUUGCUGCGUUAUUUAGACAAUCAGAAACUUGGAAGCUAAUGUGACAUAUUUCUUUUUGGUGUGAAAGCUCUUGACACGUGUCAUGAUAAUUUCUAAAGGGACAAAAUGUUAUAUAAAAGACACAAUGCCUUCAGGACCUUCAGGAGGUGGCCUCCUAGGUAGAACAUUCCUUAAAAAGGGGGAUAGGACAGGAAACACCUGGACUCUCCAGAGAUUGGCACCAUUUUUUUUCCUGCUCAGACAGCAUGGAACACCCAGCCUCCUGUCUGCAUUGAGCAUGCCCAAGACAUACUGUUCAAGUCAGGUGAUGGAACACAGGCUGAACUUACCAGAGAUGAAGCCCACAGCAAUAAAGCAGGCUGAACUAUGCAGAGGGGCUAAACCAUUCCUAUAUAAGAAUCUCUUGGGCUAAGGUUGCUCCCCACUCAUCUCCAAUAUGAGUGGUGAGGUAUCUGAAGUCCUCAACACUCCAAGUACCUGCCAUCAUAGCUGCCCUGCCUUAAGAAAAAAAUUGGAAUCUCAGCCAGGUUACCAGAGCUCAGCCCUGAGCAGUCAUACCCACACACACAUACCAGUCUUCAGAAGAGCUACUUACCCAUAGUUCCUCAGUCCUGAUCUCUACCACAUCUCUCAUCCUGGUCUCAGCAGCCUCUGGCAUUUCCCAAGCACACAGUUCACCAAACUGGACUAUUUCCUCUUUAUUAUCUACACAAAUAUUCUUAAUUAUUUCUCCUCCAACCCGAAGUACUUAUUUCUUAUUUAUGGGUGUAAAUAUAAAACCAGCAGGGCUCAUAUUUCACAGGGAGCCAUUCCAACAGCAUCCAGAACCUUCCAAAUUCCAGGAGCAGGAGAGCUGAUUCUCUACUGUUUCAUUAUAAAGGGAUUUACCAUAAAUAUUAGAAUUUGAAUUCCACCCAAGUAAUGCAUUAAUAGAUACUAAACCAUUAAUAAUUUCUGUACUUUUUCAUAAAUGGGCAAAAUCCAAUAAAUAAACUAUAUCUCUUUCACAGCAGAGCAGGGUUAACAAGUACCAAGGAGAUUUCAAAGACAAACUGCUGGUAGGGCCUGCCAGGAGCUAAGAUUCAUAAUGAAACUACAAAUUCUGGAGACCCAUUUUUUACUGUCUGCCAUGGCAAGUAUCUAAAAUUAAAUGCUAAGCCGAAAUCUGUCCUGGAGUCUGACACACAGCAGUUAAGGUAAACAAUCUCUGAAAUUAAAAACAGAUUCUAGAUAAUAAAUAAGUCCUUGUAUGUCUCACUCUGAUAACAGAUACCUCUGCCUGAUAAAUCAAAGGCCCAAGCCCUACAGAGCCUUUCUAAAUUAGGCCAGAUGAUUCACCUAAAAUAUUUCAUCUUGUGUGUCCUGUCUUAGAAGGAGAAAAUGAAAGCACCGGGCUGCUUCUGAAGGUGUAGAAGCUGAUGAAAGGUACCAACAGGAGAAAAGUAAACAUGAAAAAAUUAUCAUAAUAAGCGUGAGCUUGUGAACAUAAACUGAUGCAAGCCAGAACCCUCAGGUCAGUGGCACUGAGCAGAAGCCUGUGAUAUUGGAUGCUUGGACUUUGUGGGAGAAUGGCUGGCUGAAACCAUCUCCACAUGGAGGAGUAAAGAGAAGGCAACAAGAGCUAGCCUGUUGAUUGGACACAUGAAAAUGUUUUGAAAUUGAAGAACAUGGUAUUGGAGAGUGACACCUCUCUACUGAGAAACAAGCAAAGCUAGUAGCCUUUACAUAGACACAGAGAAGAACUAGAUAGACACACACAGAGGACAUAAGGACAAACGUAGCGUUUCUGCUUAACAGUAUUAAAACAGCACGGACAACAAUGUGAGAAGAUACAGUUUUCCUAAGAGACGGAGAAAAUCCAGAAGAGAGCAAAGAUCUUCCUUGUAAUAUCUAACUACGACUGGGCUGGCAGUGUGUUCUAGGAUGGCCACUGGUCUUCAAAUAUCUUGAAUUGAUUACAACAUUACCCAAGUAUACCAAUGGGAUAUGGAGUAAGAAAGCAUGAGAGAGAAGCCUAGGAAUCAACAGUGAAAUUCUUACUCCAGAGACGUUUCUGAACAUCCCCCAUCAAGCAUAAAGAUAUCACAGUCCUCUGGCUGGCAGGAGAGCCUGGCUGCUGUCCAUAUGGUAUGUUAAUCAGAAGUCCCCGACCAUUACAAGUGACCUGUCUGAGCCAUUCUGGGUGGUGGCUGAAUCUCAGGAGACGCUCCAACACCAACCAAGACACAAGUCUGCCCAAAGGGAUGAGGUACAGGAAGAAGGCCAGCAUGAGAGGAUGUGAGUGAGACAGACGCUAGCUUCAUUCCUGAGUCCCAAGAGCAGAAAAUAACUUGAAGAAGAAAGCUAUCAACUGUAACAGGACCAUCAUUUUCUCUUCUGGAACAAGAGAGAACUUGACGCAUCUGAAGAUGCUCACACACGUGUGCCAUGCUUCUGUAAGGCAGCAGUCACAGUACAUACAGGUCCAAGAAAAGAAAAGCGACCCAAAGGCUUUCAGGGGACUCAAGAAAUGGAUUGGUUCUGAGUAGAAGAAUUGUUUUUCCCAUGCUGACUAUGGAUGCCAGAGGCAGAAAUUUCAGAUGGUCCUUGCUGUUUCCUGAAUCUUGGAGCUAGCACAGCAUCGUGGGGAAUGCUGUCCAUUUAGCAUGUUACAGAAGCAGCACUAGCCAAGCCCUGCUCAUUUGCUAAGAGUCUGUACUUCCAGAUGGGAGCAGCCUCUCAGCGUGAAAGCCAAUGUCUUCUUGCACUGUAUAACUGUAUAAUUCUACCACUCAAAACCACUCGAGCACAUCUGCACAUUUAUGUAGCAUUUUAUACUAUGUAAAGCACUUUCA
rnacentral:lncRNA from 1 species